GACGAACGCUGGCGGCGUGCUUAACACAUGCAAGUCGAACGGAAAGGCCCUGCUUUUGUGGGGUGCUCGAGUGGCGAACGGGUGAGUAACACGUGAGUAACCUGCCCUUGACUUUGGGAUAACUUCAGGAAACUGGGGCUAAUACCGGAUAGGAGCUCCUGCUGCAUGGUGGGGGUUGGAAAGUUUCGGCGGUUGGGGAUGGACUCGCGGCGUAUCAGCUUGUUGGUGGGGUAGUGGCUUACCAAGGCUUUGACGGGUAGCCGGCCUGAGAGGGUGACCGGCCACAUUGGGACUGAGAUACGGCCCAGACUCCUACGGGAGGCAGCAGUGGGGAAUAUUGCACAAUGGGCGGAAGCCUGAUGCAGCAACGCCGCGUGCGGGAUGACGGCCUUCGGGUUGUAAACCGCUUCCGCCUGUGACGAAGCGUGAGUGACGGUAAUGGGUAAAGAAGCACCGGCUAACUACGUG
rnacentral:rRNA from 1 species